UAGGGAAUCUUCCGCAAUGGACGAAAGUCUGACGGAGCGACGCCGCGUGAGCGAAGAAGGUCUUCGGAUCGUAAAGCUCUGUUGUUAGGGAAGAAGAAGUGCCGUUCGAACAGGGCGGCGCGGUGACGGUACCUAACGAGAAAGCCCCGGCUAACUACGUGCCAGCAGCCGCGGUAAUACGUAGGUGGCAAGCGUUGUCCGGAAUUAUUGGGCGUAAAGCGCGCGCAGGCGGUUCCUUAAGUCUGAUGUGAAAUCUCGCGGCUCAACCGCGGGCGGCCAUUGGAAACUGGGGAACUUGAGUGCAGGAGAGGGGAGCGGAAUUCCACGUGUAGCGGUGAAAUGCGUAGAGAUGUGGAGGAACACCAGUGGCGAAGGCGGCUCUCUGGCCUGUAACUGACGCUGAGGCGCAAAAGCGUGGGGAGCGAACAGG
rnacentral:rRNA from 1 species